AUCCGGGUUGCGGACAGUGUCUGGUGGGUAGUUUGACUGGGGCGGUCUCCUCCUAAAGAGUAACGGAGGAGCACGAAGGUUAGCUAAUCCUGGUCGGACAUCAGGAGGUUAGUGCAAAGGCAUAAGCUAGCUUGACUGCGAGAGUGACGGCUCGAGCAGGUGCGAAAGCAGGUCUUAGUGAUCCGGUGGUUCUGAAUGGAAGGGCCAUCGCUCAACGGAUAAAAGGUACUCCGGGGAUAACAGGCUGAUACCGCCCAAGAGUUCAUAUCGACGGCGGUGUUUGGCACCUCGAUGUCGGCUCAUCACAUCCUGGGGCUGAAGUAGGUCCCAAGGGUAUGGCUGUUCGCCAUUUAAAGUGGUACGCGAGCUGGGUUUAGAACGUCGUGAGACAGUUCGGUCCCUAUCUGCCGUGGGCGCUGGAGAAUUGAGGGGGGCUGCUCCUAGUACGAGAGGACCGGAGUGGACGCAUCACUGGUGUUCGGGUUGUCAUGCCAAUGGCAUUGCCCGGUAGCUAAAUGCGGAAGAGAUAAGUGCUGAAAGCAUCUAAGCACGAAACUUGCCCCGAGAUGAGUUCUCCCUGAGACUAUAAGUCUCCUGAAGGAACGUUAAAGACGAUGACGUUGAUAGGUCGGGUGUGUAAGCGUAGCGAUACGUUGAGCUAACCGAUACUAAUGAACCGUGAGGCUUAACCUUACAACGCCGAAG
rnacentral:rRNA from 1 species